rnacentral:rRNA from 1 species
CGGCUCAGUAACACGUGGAUAACCUACCCUUGAGACGGGGAUAAACCCGGGAAACUGGGUAUAAUACCCGAUAGAUCUCGACUGCUGGAAUGCAUCGAGCCUGAAAGCUCCGGCGCUCAAGGAUGGGUCUGCGGCCUAUCAGGUAGUAGUGGGUGUAGCGUACCUACUAGCCUACGACGGGUACGGGUUGUGAGAGCAAGAGCCCGGAGAUGGAUUCUGAGACACGAAUCCAGGCCCUACGGGGUGCAGCAGGCGCGAAAACUUUACAAUGCUGGAAACAGCGAUAAGGGGACCUCGAGUGCCAGGUUACAAAUCUGGCUGUCGUGAUGCCUAAAAAGCAUUGCAUAGCAAGGGCCGGGCAAGACCGGUGCCAGCCGCCGCGGUAACACCGGCGGCUCGAGUGGUAACCGUUAUUAUUGGGUCUAAAGGGUCUGUAGCCGGCCGGAUAAGUCUCUUGGGAAAUCUGGCAGCUUAACUGUCAGGCUUUCAGGAGAUACUGUCUGGCUCGAGGCCGGGAGAGGUGAGAGGUACUUCAGGGGUAGGGGUGAAAUCUUGUAAUCCUUGAAGGACCACCAGUGGCGAAGGCGUCUCACCAGAACGGACCUGACGGCA